rnacentral:tRNA from 1 species
GGAGAGAUGGCUCAGUGGUUAGGAGCUCUGACUGCUCUUCCAGAGGUCCUGAGUUCAAUUCCCAGCAACCACA